CCUACGGGAGGCAGCAGUGAGGAAUAUUGGUCAAUGGACGAGAGUCUGAACCAGCCAAGUAGCGUGAAGGAUGACUGCCCUAUGGGUUGUAAACUUCUUUUAUAUGGGAAUAAAAUGUUCCACGUGUGGGAUUUUGUAUGUACCAUAUGAAUAAGGAUCGGCUAACUCCGUGCCAGCAGCCGCGGUAAUACGGACGAUCCGAGCGUUAUCCGGAUUUAUUGGGUUUAAAGGGAGCGUAGGUGGAUUGUUAAGUCAGUUGUGAAAGUUUGCGGCUCAACCGUAAAAUUGCAGUUGAAACUGGCAGUCUUGAGUACAGUAGAGGUGGGCGGAAUUCGAGGUGUAGCGGUGAAAUGCUUAGAUAUCACGAAGAACUCCGAUUGCGAAGGCAGUUCACUGGACUGCAACUGACACUGAGGCUCGAAAGUGUGGGUAUCAAACAGGAUUAGAUACCCUUGUAGUC
rnacentral:rRNA from 1 species